AAGUCGUAACAAGGUUUCCGUAGGUGAACCUGCGGAAGGAUCAUUAUUGAAUACUAUGGGAUUGAGCUUAUGUUCGAACCCUUUUCAUAUCCAUAACACCUGUGCACUGUUGGAUGCUUGCAUCCACUUUUAAACUAAACAUUAUUGUAACAAAUGUAGUCUUAUUAUAACAUAAUAAAACUUUCAACAACGGAUCUCUUGGCUCUC
rnacentral:misc_RNA from 1 species